GAUGAAGAACGUAGCGAAAUGCGAUAAGUAAUGUGAAUUGCAGAAUUCAGUGAAUCAUCGGAUCUUUGAACGCACCUUGCACCCUUUGGACUGCUCCAAAGGGUAUGCUCGUUUGAGUGUCAUUGUACUCUCACACUCUCUGAUCCUUUGGAUUUGGGGAGCAGUGGACUUGGGUGCUUGCUGCUUCCUUGUGGCUCACCUGAAAUGCAUCAGUGCAUCUCUCGAUUGGACAUAGUACGGCGUGAUAAGUGUCUUCGCCGGCACCUCAUAUGAGGGUGGCCGAUCGGGAGCUCUGUGCUUUCAAACCGUCUUCGGACAACGCUGACAACUUGACCUCAAAUCGAGUAGGACUACCCGCUGAACUUAAGCAUAUCAAUAAGCGGAGGA
rnacentral:misc_RNA from 1 species